rnacentral:rRNA from 1 species
CCUACGGGCGGCAGCAGUGAGGAAUAUUGGUCAAUGGACGAGAGUCUGAACCAGCCAAGUAGCGUGAAGGAUGACUGCCCUAUGGGUUGUAAACUUCUUUUAUAUGGGAAUAAAAUGUUCCACGUGUGGGAUUUUGUAUGUACCAUAUGAAUAAGGACCGGCUAACUCCGUGCCAGCAGCCGCGGUAAUACGGAGGUUCCGAGCGUUAUCCGGAUUUAUUGGGGUUAAAGGGAGCGUAGGUGGAUUGUUAAGUCAGUUGUGAAAGUUUGCGGCUCAACCGUGAAAUUGUAGUUGAAACGGGCAGUCUUGAGUACAGUAGAGGUGGGCGGAAUUCGUGGUGUAGCGGUGAAAUGCUUAGAUAUCACGAAGAACUCCGAUGGCGAAGGCAGCUCACUGGACUGCAACUGACACUGAGGCUCGAAAGUGUGGGUAGCAAACAGGAUUAGAUACCCGAGUAGUC